UUUGCGCUCCGUCACAUGC
rnacentral:misc_RNA from 1 species